rnacentral:rRNA from 1 species
AGUGAACGCUGGCGGUAGGCCUAACACAUGCAAGUCGAACGGCAGCACAGUAAGAGCUUGCUCUUACGGGUGGCGAGUGGCGGACGGGUGAGGAAUACAUCGGAAUCUACUUUUUCGUGGGGGAUAACGUAGGGAAACUUACGCUAAUACCGCAUACGACCUACGGGUGAAAGCAGGGGAUCUUCGGACCUUGCGCGAUUGAAUGAGCCGAUGUCGGAUUAGCUAGUUGGCGGGGUAAAGGCCCACCAAGGCGACGAUCCGUAGCUGGUCUGAGAGGAUGAUCAGCCACACGGGAACUGAGACACGGACCAGACUCCUACGGGAGGCAGCAGUGGGGGAUAUUGGACAAUGGGCGCAAGCCUGAUCCAGCCAUACCGCGUGGGUGAAGAAGGCCUUCGGGUUGUAAAGCCCUUUUGUUGGGAAAGAAAAGCAGCAGGUUAAUACCCCGCUGUUCUGACGGUACCCAAAGAAUAAGCACCGGCUAACUUCGUG